GGAAUCUGCCUGGUAGUGGGGGACAACGUUUCGAAAGGAACGCUAAUACCGCAUACGUCCUACGGGAGAAAGCAGGGGACCUUCGGGCCUUGCGCUAUCAGAUGAGCCUAGGUCGGAUUAGCUAGUUGGUGGGGUAAUGGCUCACCAAGGCGACGAUCCGUAACUGGUCUGAGAGGAUGAUCAGUCACACUGGAACUGAGACACGGUCCAGACUCCUACGGGAGGCAGCAGUGGGGAAUAUUGGACAAUGGGCGAAAGCCUGAUCCAGCCAUGCCGCGUGUGUGAAGAAGGUCUUCGGAUUGUAAAGCACUUUAAGUUGGGAGGAAGGGCAGUAAGUUAAUACCUUGCUGUUUUGACGUUACCGACAGAAUAAGCACCGGCUAACUCUGUGCCAGCAGCCGCGGUAAUACAGAGGGUGCAAGCGUUAAUCGGAAUUACUGGGCGUAAAGCGCGCGUAGGUGGUUCGUUAAGUUGGAUGUGAAAGCCCCGGGCUCAACCUGGGAACUGCAUCCAAAACUGGCGAGCUAGAGUACGGUAGAGGGU
rnacentral:rRNA from 1 species